UUUCCGUAGGUGAACCUGCGGAAGGAUCAUUAAAAAUGAAGCCGGGAAACCGGUCCUUCUCACCCUGGAUUAUCUCAAUUUGUUGCUUUGGUGGGCCGCGCAAGCACCGGCUUCGGCUGGAUCGUGCCCGCCAGAGGACCACAACUCUGUAUUAUAUGUCGUCUGAGUACUAUAAAAUAGUUAAAACUUUCAACAACGGAUCUCUUGGUUCUG
rnacentral:misc_RNA from 1 species